CUGCCCUUGACAUCUGCAGAACUUUCCAGAGAUGGAUUGGUGCCUUCGGGAACUGCAAGACAGGUGCUGCAUGGCUGUCGUCAGCUCGUGUCGUGAGAUGUUGGGUUAAGUCCCGUAACGAGCGCAACCCUUGUCCAUAGUUGCCAGCGCGUAAUGGCGGGAACUCUAUGGAGACUGCCGGUGAUAAACCGGAGGAAGGUGGGGAUGACGUCAGGUCAUCAUGGCCCUUAUGGGCAGGGCUACACACGUGCUACAAUGGCCGGUACAGAGGGUCGCCAACCCGCGAGGGGGAGCUAAUCCCAGAAAACCGGUCGUAGUCCGGAUCGGAGUCUGCAACUCGACUCCGUGAAGUCGGAAUCGCUAGUAAUCGCGGAUCAGCACGCCGCGGUGAAUACGUUCCC
rnacentral:rRNA from 1 species